rnacentral:rRNA from 1 species
UCUGACCCGCACGAAAGGUUGAACGACUUAGCGACUGUCUUGAGCACGCGCCCGGCGAAAUUGAAAUGGCUGUGAAGAUGCGGCCUAAUUACACAUGGACAAAAAGACCCCGUGAAGCUUUACUAUAACUUGGCACUGAAAGUAUAUUUGUAACUCUGUAGGGUAGGAGGGAGCCGCAAGGCAACGAUGAAACACCUCUGUUUACUUAUAUGCGAUCUAACGUCAAUCCCAAGCAAAAAUCUGGGUGACGGACACUGUCUGGCGGGUAGUUUAACUGGGGAGGUUUUCUCCAAAAUCGUAACGGAGAAGUACAAAGGUCAACUCAGUACGGAUGGAAAUCGUACGUAGAGCGCAAGAGUAAAAUAGUUGGCUUAACUGUGAGACAAACAAGUCGAGCAGAUACGAAAGUAGGUUCUAGUGAUCUUCUGCUUCCUCGUGGGAGGGGCAGGGCUUAUCGGAUAAAAGCUACUCCGGGGAUAACAGGCUGAUCUUACCCAAGCGUCCACAGCGACGGUAAGGUUUGGCACCUCGAUGUCGGCUCAUCGCAUCCUGGGGCGGUAGUACGUCCCAAGGGUCUGGCUGUUCGCCAGUUAAAGCGGUACGCGAGCUGGGUUCAGAGCGUCGUGAGACAGCUCGGUCUCUAUCCUGUGUAAUCGUUAGAUCAUUGAGGGAGGUCGCCCCUAGUACGAGAGGACCGGGGUGAGGAAACCUCUAGUGUGCCAGUUGUUCCAUCAGGGGCAUCGCUGGGUAGCUAAGUUUUUAAGUGAUAAACGCUGAAAGCAUAUAAGCGUGAAGCACGUCCCAAGAUGAGUGAUCUUUUAAGCGCCCUCGGAGAUGACGAGGUUGAUAGGCAGCCGAUGCAAGCAUGGCAACAUGUUUAGUCAAGCUGUACUAAUAGCGCGUAACGAGCAUGUUU